UACGGAGGGGGCUAGCGUUGUUCGGAAUUACUGGGCGUAAAGCGCGCGUAGGCGGAUCUGCAAGUCGGGGGUGAAAUCUCGGAGCUUAACUCCGAAACUGCAUUCGAUACUGCCGUGCUUGAGGACUGGAGAGGAGACUGGAAUUUACGGUGUAGCGGUGAAAUGCGUAGAUAUCGUAAGGAAGACCAGUGGCGAAGGCGGGUCUCUGGACAGUUCCUGACGCUGAGGCACGAAGGUCAGGGGAGCAAACGGG
rnacentral:rRNA from 1 species